UACGAAGGGGGCUAGCGUUGCUCGGAAUUACUGGGCGUAAAGCGCACGUAGGCGGCUUUGUAAGUUAGAGGUGAAAGCCUGGUGCUCAACACCAGAAUUGCCUUUAAGACUGCAUCGCUUGAACGUCGGAGAGGUGAGUGGAAUUCCGAGUGUAGAGGUGAAAUUCGUAGAUAUUCGGAAGAACACCAGUGGCGAAGGCGGCUCACUGGACGACUGUUGACGCUGAGGUGCGAAAGCGUGGGGAGCAAACAGG
rnacentral:rRNA from 1 species